GCUUCCUUUGAGGGUACCGUCAGCACUCUUGCGAGUAUUUCUUCCCCUCCGACAGAAGUUUACGACCCAAAGGCCUUCAUCCUUCACGCGGCGUUGCUGCGUCAGGGUUUCCCCCAUUGCGCAAAAUUCCCCA
rnacentral:rRNA from 1 species